UCAGCUAUACAGCUAUCUUCUUCGUAAAUUACCAAUGAAUUCGUUGGGAAAAAUGUGAAAGGUGCAUGAAGCCAGUACCGUCAACUAUUGUGUUAAAAAUCCUGAUAUCCUACAGAAUAUGUCAUCCAAAUGACAGAGUGGUAACAACCAAUGCUAGCUUUAGUAAAGUAUUGCUGGAACAUAGUCUUCUCAUCUUUUAUUACGAUUCAUCACUAUUAUCGGCUGAAUCAUUCUAUGGGACUUGCCAGAUCGCCAACCCAAGCAUGGACCAAUUUCUCAUUCCAUCUUCUAGAGAACCUUACAUAACGGAUUGGUGGUUUAGUGUGUUUUAGGUUUCCAAUGUACCAUGGUAGACUUUAUGAGAAGUCAUGUUGUUUGAAGAAAAAGGACUAUACAGUCGACAAGGUUCUUUGCUAACCUGCUGGCUGUUACCCUUGAAUCUCCCUGUUUACUUCCUUAC